UUAAAUAAUUUAUAUUUUCACUCAGACUACAAUCUUCAGACAGAGUUCGAGGGUGUCUUCGGCGGGCGCGGGCCCGGGGGCGAAUGCCCCCCGGCGGCCGUGAGGCGGGCCCGCCGAAGCAACAAGGUAAAUAAACACGGGUGGGAGGUUGGACCCAGAGGGCCCUCACUCGGUAAUGAUCCUUCCGCAGGUUCACCUACGGAAA
rnacentral:misc_RNA from 1 species